GCGGACGUGGCGAAAUGGUAGACGCACCCGACUUAAAAUCGGUUUCCCCGAAACGGGAGUGCGGGUUCAAGUCCCGCCGUCCGCACCA
rnacentral:tRNA from 1 species